rnacentral:rRNA from 1 species
UACGUAGGGAGCAAGCGUUGUCCGGAAUCAUUGGGCGUAAAGCGCGCGUAGGCGGCCCUGUAAGUCCGUUGUGAAAGUCAAAGGCUCAACCUUUGAAAGCCGAUGGAUACUGCAGGGCUAGAGUUCGGAAGAGGCGAGUGGAAUUCCUGGUGUAGCGGUGGAAUGCGCAGAUAUCAGGAGGAACACCAAUAGCGAAGGCAGCUCGCUGGGACGAUACUGACGCUAAGGCGCGAAAAGCGUGGGGAGCAAACAGG